rnacentral:rRNA from 1 species
AACGAACGCUGGCGGCAUGCCUAACACAUGCAAGUCGAACGAGACCUUCGGGUCUAGUGGCGCACGGGUGCGUAAUGCGUGGGAACCUGCCCUUAGGUUCGGAAUAACUCCCCGAAAGGGGUGCUAAUACCGGAUAAUGUCUUCGGACCAAAGAUUUAUCGCCUUUGGAUGGGCCCGCGUUGGAUUAGCUAGUUGGUAGGGUAAAAGCCUACCAAGGCGACGAUCCAUAGCUGGUCUGAGAGGAUGAUCAGCCACACUGGGACUGAGACACGGCCCAGACUCCUACGGGAGGCAGCAGUGGGGAAUAUUGGACAAUGGGCGAAAGCCUGAUCCUGCAAUGCCGCGUGAGUGAUGAAGGCCUUAGGGUUGUAAAGCUCUUUUACCCGGGAUGAUAAUGACAGUACCGGGAGAAUAAGCUCCGGCUAACUCCGUG